UGAAGUGGGAAUGGGUAGGGCAUCAUAGUUCGAAAACACGAUAGACGUUUGAGUCCCAAGAUGC